AUGAACGCUAGCUACAGGCUUAACACAUGCAAGUCGAGGGGAAACGACAUCGAAAGCUUGCUUUUGAUGGGCGUCGACCGGCGCACGGGUGAGUAACGCGUAUCCAACCUGCCCAUCACUUGGGAAUAACCUUGCGAAAGUAAGACUAAUACCCAAUGACAUCCCACGAAGACAUCUGAAUGGGAUUAAAGAUUUAUCGGUGAUGGAUGGGGAUGCGUCUGAUUAGCUUGUUGGCGGGGUAACGGCCCACCAAGGCAACGAUCAGUAGAGGUUCUGAGAGGAAGGUCCCCCACAUUGGAACUGAGACACGGUCCAAACUCCUACGGGAGGCAGCAGUGAGGAAUAUUGGUCAAUGGGCGAGAGCCUGAACCAGCCAAGUAGCGUGCAGGAUGACGGCCCUAUGGGUUGUAAACUGCUUUUAUAAGGGAAUAAAGUGGGUCUCGUGAGACUUUUUGCAUGUACCUUAUGAAUAAGGACCGGCUAAUUCCGUG
rnacentral:rRNA from 1 species